UUACCAUAAGCUAGUUGCGCAAUGAUUCGCAAUCCAAAACUUAUUUAAUGUUGCUUUAAGGUCAAGAUUAAUAAAUUUUAUUCCAAGAAAUAUGUGUCUAAUGUGUUUGAUUUUCUUUUUUUGAUUGUAGGAUUUGCAGUAUGAUCGGUAUUGAUCAAGGAUUUAACUGUUUCGACAUUUAAGCAAAGGUCGACAUGUUGGUUCAGUAUACCUAAUUCGUUUUCAAUAUUUUUCUGGCAAACGGGACAAGGAACGGUAUUCUGGCUUUGGAAUUUCUAGUAAUAAUUAGCAUAUUGCUAGCAGUAUAUUUGCUUGACUUACAAGUUGCAUGGCCAAACAACGCGAUUUACUAACCAGCUUUGUUGCUCUGACUCCUAAUAAACGAAUAGUCAUAGGGUAAGAUUGACGCAACAAUUGCAAAGCUGGUUUCAAUAAAUCAGAUUCUGAAUGAAUGAAUUGACCUAUGCUCUUUUGCUUGGUAUGAACUUGAAAUUCGCUUGUUUUAUACUUUAUAGCGAUCGAGUUUGUGACUAAUCCGCGCUUUUGUAAAUUUUCAGAUACAUUUUGUACAAGAAGUCUGAGCUUGUACUCGAUUAUUGACGGAGAACUAAGAUUGCUGGAAAAUGUAGCUUCAGACCCAAUUGUUUUUCGUUUGCUCUCACCGUAUUCGUCUAAAAUUGUAGUUCCAAAUCCAUAGCUACAUCUCAACAAGUUUUGGAAACUUUUAGGUAAAAAGAUAUAAGAUAAAAUCACCAAAUUUCUUUGAAUAUCCCCACACGUCUUAAUUUCCAAACCAAGUAAUUGCUGCUCUAAAACUCUAC